ensembl:lncRNA
UGUACGUACGUUUUAUGAACAUGAUCAUGUGCCAACUCGUUUUAAUAACACACUUUUUUCUCUCCUUUUCUUGCCCCAAAAAUGAAGCUCUAUAUAUAUUUACUUAAACUUGUGCUUAUAAUUGUAAUAACACUCCAACAAUUACUACUAUCAUAUAUUAUGUUUAGCAAUAAACUAUUUUUAUAUAUUUUUGACGUAACUUUUAUUAUUAUUUUAACAUUUUAUUUAGCUAGUUCUAAAAAUAACAUACAUAUAUAUAGUAUAUAUAUAUAUAUUAUAGUAACAAAAAUAACUAUAAUUUAUUUUAUUUCUAUUCCUAAUAGUAUUAUUCAUAAUAAAAGUAUUUAUACAUAUUAUAUAAAAUAUUUUAAUGAUGUUUUAUAUUUAAUAUAUGCAGUUACGUUUACUUUAUUAAUUACAGUAAUUGUAUAUAUUAUUUUUUUUUAUAUAACAAAUUAUAAUUUAUUAUCAAUUGAUACUAUUACUGUUGAAAACAUUUUAUUUCUUAUUAUAGCUGUAUAUGUAUCCAUAGAUAUAAUAGAUAUAUCUGAUUUUUUUUAUAAUUCUUAUUUAUAUUUUUUAUAUUAUUAUUUUAGAUUAAAAGAUGAAUAUAUUAUGCUUUCUAAUAUAAAGUUGUUUGAACAACAAUUUUUUAAAGAAAAAAAUAUUAGCAAAUUUUAUAUUACUACAACAAAUAUAACUGAAAUAUUUUAUAUCACUAUAGGCAUUUUAAUAUCUUUAAAUGUGUUUAUACAUGCAUAUUCUUUACCUAAUUAUUCACAUGAGGCUAACAUACAACAGAUUGGUUUUAUUAAAAACUCAGUAAAAAAAAAAAAAAAAUAUAAUGAAAAACAAUGUAAUGAAAAACAAUGUAAUGAAAAACAAUAUAAUGCAAAACAAUAUAAUACAAAACAAUAUAAUGCAAAACAAUAUAAUGCAAAACAAUAUAAUGCAAAAUAUAGGAACAAGUAUAAACAUAACAAUAAUAACAAUAAAAAUUAUAAUUUUAUUAAGAGUUACAAUUAUGAUCAUAUAAAUCCUAAAGCUAGUAAUAAUUUUAAAUCAAAAUUAUUAACAGAUUUCCAAUUUAACAGACCCAAAUCAAAUAUAUGUAAUAAAAAAAGUAGAUCCGAAUCCAUAAUAAAAGCUUUAACAAACCAGAAACUUCCUGCUAAUACAACAUCAACUUUAACGACAGUUCCACAUUCGACAUCAGACAUACAACCAUAUGCUACAACUCCAAAAAUAAUUAAUAUAUCACAGAAACACAUAUAUAACAACUUUAAAAUCAAUAACGAAUUUUCUAAAACAUAUAAUAUUACUUCUAACACACAACAUUACGAUGAAUAUUUUUUAAAAAAAACAUAUUAUGAUUCAAAAAUUAGUGGGGACGCAUUAUCUUGUUUGAAAUAUAUUAGUGUAUGUAGUUUUAUUUUUACCAACUUAAAUUUUUGUUUCGUUAGACUAAUGAAUAUAUUGUUAUUUUCUGAGUUAUUGUCUUCCUCAUUCUUUAUCAUAAAAAACAUCUGCUUCAUUGCUAUAUGCAUCUUAAGGAUGUACAGAAAGUCCAAGUAUAAUAAAGGAUUGAAUUACAAAAAAAAAAAAAAUAAAAAUAAAAUAAAAAAUUUAUAUUCUAAAAUAGAUAAUAAUGACAUUUUUGCUAUGAACAAAAACAAUCAAUCCGAAAUGGAAAACUUUGACGACGAAAGUAACGCCCAAGUUAGACACUGGUAUGGUGGAUGUACGUAUAAGUCAUAUACACUUAAUACAAGGAAACUUCAAAAAAGAAACACAAAUGAAAUUUCUUACACUUUUGAAACUUAUAAAACAAAAAGUUCUAUAUUACAAAAUAGUUAUGAUAGUAAAAUAUUAUUUUCUAAAACUAUUGGUUUUAAUGAUUUUAUAAAUAUACAAGAUAUAGAACAUAGUGAAUAUAAUAAAUGUACUAGUUUAAAAUAUAAUCAUAUAAAGUUUUAUUUUAAUUUUUUAUAUUUAAAAUAUAAUGGACUUAAUAUAAAAAAAUAUAUAACCUACUACUUCGAUAAUAUAUCUAGACAAUCAUUCAAAUAUUCAUUUUUUUUUUUUUUUUUUAUUUUAUUAAUAGCUAUAAAAAUAACCAUUAUUGUUAUAACAUAUAUUUUUGAUUUUGAUCAGGAUUUUCAAAUAAAAUUAUAUGAUUUGACUUUUAAUUAUAACAUAAAAAUUAACUCGGGGUUAGUAAUGUUUAUUCACAUGAGUCGGAACAAAAAUAUCAUGCCCAUGUUGUUUAUAUUCGUGCGAAUGGUAUAUCUUCUUCUUUCCGACUCCUAUAUUUUCAUUAAUAUGAUUCUUGGAAGAAUAUACAUUACCUAUAAUUAUAAAACGAAAGAGAGAAAAGACAUACACAGUGAUGCAAAUUCAUAUGGUAAUGUUUCAGUUACCAUAUCAAUAAUAUCAUUAUUAAUAUUUAAGUUAAUAAAAUAUAUGAACGGACCCCUUAUAUUAAAUAAAAUUAUUAUAGGCAAUAAUCUUAUCAAGAACACUAGAGUUGAUAAUUUUUUUUAUUUUAGACAUAUUAAAACCAUUAUACAAAAACUAAUUGUUUAUUUUUUAUGCUUUAUUUUUUGUUUUAAUAUUA